rnacentral:rRNA from 1 species
CCAGACUCCUACGGGAGGCAGCAGUGAGGAAUAUUGGUCAAUGGGCGGGAGCCUGAACCAGCCAAGUCGCGUGAGGGAUGACGGCCCUAUGGGUUGUAAACCUCUUUUGCCGGGGAGCAAAGUGCCGCACGUGUGCGGUUUGGAGAGUACCCGGAGAAAAAGCAUCGGCUAACUCCGUGCCAGCAGCCGCGGUAAUACGUAGGGGGCGAGCGUUAUCCGGAUUCACUGGGUGUAAAGGGAGCGUAGACGGCCAUGCAAGCCAGGGGUGAAAGCCCGGGGCCCAACCCCAGGACUGCCCUUGGAACUGCAUGGCUGGAGUGCGGGAGGGGCAGGCGGAAUUCCUGGUGUAACGGUGAAAUGCGUAGAUAUCAGGAGGAACACCGGCGGCGAAGGCGGCCUGCUGGACCGCGACUGACGUUGAGGCUCGAAAGCGUGGGGAGCGAACAGGAUUAGAUACCCGGGUA